GAAUCUGCCUUUUGGUCGGGGACAACCACUGGAAACGGUGGCUAAUACCGGAUGUGCCUUUAGGGGUGAAAGAUUAAUUGCCAGAAGAGGAGCUCGCGUCUGAUUAGCUAGUUGGUGAGGUAAAAGCUCACCAAGGCGACGAUCAGUAGCUGGUCUGAGAGGAUGACCAGCCACACUGGGACUGAGACACGGCCCAGACUCCUACGGGAGGCAGCAGUGGGGAAUUUUCCGCAAUGGGCGAAAGCCUGACGGAGCAAGACCGCGUGAGGGAGGAAGGCUCUUGGGUCGUAAACCUCUUUUGUCAGGGAAGAACACAAUGACGGUACCUGACGAAUCAGCCUCGGCUAACUCCGUGCCAGCAGCCGCGGUAAUACGGAGGAGGCAAGCGUUAUCCGGAAUUAUUGGGCGUAAAGCGUCCGUAGAUGGUCGCUUCAAGUCUGCUGUCAAAGACCGGGGCUUAACCCCAGAAAGGCAGUGGAAACUGAACAGCUAGAGAGAGGUAGGGGUAGAGGGAAUUCCCAGUGUAGCGGUGAAAUGCGUAGAGAUCAGGAAGAACACCGGUGGCGAAAGCGCUCUGCUGGACCUUAACUGACACUGAGGGACGAAAGCUAGGGGAGCG
rnacentral:rRNA from 1 species